rnacentral:rRNA from 1 species
UACGUAGGGUGCAAGCGUUGUCCGGAAUUAUUGGGCGUAAAGAGCUCGUAGGCGGUUUGUCGCGUCUGCUGUGAAAACGCGAGGCUCAACCUCGCGCCUGCAGUGGGUACGGGCAGACUAGAGUGCGGUAGGGGAGAUUGGAAUUCCUGGUGUAGCGGUGGAAUGCGCAGAUAUCAGGAGGAACACCGAUGGCUAAGGCAGAUCUCUGGGCCGUAACUGACGCUGAGGAGCGAAAGCAUGGGGAGCGAACAGG